rnacentral:lncRNA from 1 species
UCUUUUUAGGGCCACAACCAUGGCAUAUGGAAGUUCUGCCAGGGGCUGAAUCGAACAGUAGCCACUGGCCUAUGCCACAGCCACAGCAAUGUGGGGUCCGAGCCAAGUCUGCAACCUACACCACAGCUCACAGCAAUGGCAGAUCCUUAACGCACUGAGCAAGGCAAGGGAUCGAACUCACUUCCUCAUGGAUACUAGUACAGUUCAUUAUUUCUGAGCCAUGAUGGGAACUCCAUGUAAGAAGCUGAAAUUAAUCACUGAAUUCAUAAGGUUAAUGAUAAGGUUAGAAUCAUCUAAACAAAUGGAUUAGUCUUUGAUCUGAAUAGAGAAGCUUAAAGUAGCUAAGUUAAUCUUUUCUAAAAAGGAAAGACAGCAAAAAUUUUUAAAUACUGGAAAUGAUUCUGGAAAUCACUGCAACUAAUUUCCUGUAGUUAAUGUUUGUGUUUUUUCAUCCCACAGCUGUUAACCAUUUUUGGUUAUAAGUUUGCAAAAACAAAUCACAAAUAAAAAUCAUAAGCAACCAAAACUGCAUUAAAGUUUUUUGCUACAAUCCCAUUUUAUGGUACAUACAUAAUAUUAUCCACUUGAAAUCUAUUAAAGUUUGGAAACAAAUGAAUUCCUACAACUUACUGGGUUUAUUAAGGACUAUAGGGCGGAAAAAAAAAUCUCAGUGACCAACUGUCUGUAUUUCCUCCCAAAUACUUCAAUAAAAAGGAUAGGUGAACUCAUGAGACAAAUAUAAUACAUUGAGAAAAUCGGUUGAAGUCACAAAAACUAAAGCUUCUUUAAAAGAAAACCCAGUUUCUCUUUAACACUGAAUUACUUUUCUUUCCUUCAUAACACCAUCUUUUGGUAAAAGAACUGUCUUACCUUGGCCUUAAUUACUUCUCUUACAUGGUCUUUAACUUACUGCAACUGACUUAAUUCUCUUGAAUUUGUUUUCCUCAAAUUGUACUGUAUAAAUAAUACCAAACAGGAAUAGAUGGCGUGUAAAAAACAUUUUCAGAUAUUCUUCUAAAUGCUUUACUUGCAUUUAUUUAUUUAAUCCUAACAAGAGCCCUAGGAGGCAAUUACCUUUAUUUAUACCUGUUCUUUGGAGUGUGGAAAUUGGAAAACAAAGAUUCAGUAUUUUGUGGCAGACCUAGGAUCUGAUCCCAGUAGUCUAGUUCCAUGCGCUUAACCACAGUGACCCACUAAUUUUUCAAUCAGUGAUCAUCCUUAUAAAACAGUGUACAGGAGUUCCCGUCGUGGCGCAGUGGUUAACGAAUCCGACUAGGAACCAUGAGGUUGCGGGUUCAGUCCCUGCCCUUGCUCAGUGGGUUAACGAUCCGGCGUUGCCGUGAGCUGUGGUGCAGGUUGCAGACGCGGCUCGGAUCCCGCGUUGCUGUGGCUCUGGCGUAGGCCGGUGGCUACAGCUCCGAUUCAACCCCUAGCCUGGGAACCUCCAUAUGCCGCGGGAGCGGCCCAAGAAAUAGCAACAACAACAACAACAACAACAAAGACAAAAGACAAAAACAAAACAAAACAAAAACAAAAAAAAACCAAAAACAAACAAACAAACAAAAAAAACAUAUGCAGAAGUUCCUGGGCCAGGGAUCAAACCUGCACCAUAACAGCAGAUCCUUAACCCACUAAGCCACCAGGGAACUCCUCAGGUUGCUCUUUAGUAGCUAGUGUCCCCCAGUAUUCAUCUGGCCCCUUCACUUGCCCCCUGGCUAUCUCAUCUAUUUCUAAACAUUCAGUCAUUACCUUUCAGGUGAGGCCUCCAAAAAACAACUCAAAAGCAGACCCAAACAUUUGGAGCCAUAAAAUUCAAUCCAAAUGUACAUUAAAAACAAUUACUUCAAACUCACAUUGACCUUGCUGUCUUUUCUUUUUCUUUUCCUUGGCCAUUCUGGUUCUCAACUUCAGCAGUGCCAGCAGUUACCUCCCUUGCUUGAAUCCAUUCCUUCCUUUUAAUUCUCAUUCAUAUACCAUCAUCACUUUCUUUUCUUUUUCUUUCUUUUUUAUGGCUACAAUGACGGCAAAUGGAAAUUCAGAGGCCAGGGACUGAAUCAGAGCUGCAGCUGUGGCCUACGCAGUAGCUACAGCAACACCAGAUCCUAUUUUCCAUUUGGAAUAUCAAAAUAAGUUCCUCACCUCAUUUUGCCAACCAAACUCUAAUAUGACUAACCAAACAGAUCUGCAUGCCAUCUGGACUAUGCCAGUCCCUUCUUUCAUUGAAAGACUACAGUAGUUCCCACUCUUAUUGAAUUACAUAUGAAAGGUGCUUCUUAAUCCAUCUUUCAAGACUAUCUGUGAUCUACAUCCAAGUAAUAACUUCGAGUUUUUAUUUCAUGCUCACAUCCAUUUAUACUCAUGCUGAAGAUUACUUGAAGAUUACUUGCUAUUUGCUUCCAUGUCUUUGUUAAUGCUGUCCUUUACAACUAUCAAAAUCCUACCCAAUCUCAAACCUCCGUGUCAAAGUUCACUCAUCUCAUUUCAUCUCCUGAUUCUCUUAUAAACAGAUGUGGCUUCUUAUACCCUACCUCCAAAUCUUCCCAGUAUUUUGAUGUGCUUCUCUUUUGCAUUUAUCACAAUCUAACUCACUGUAGCUAUUUACACAUGCAUCUUUUCAUCAUAAUAUUCUCUAAAGGAUUGUUGGUAUUUUGAUUAUAAGCACUCUCUUUCAGUCAUCUUUGCAUUCCCUCUUUCUCCCCUCACCAAAGGCCAGCACAUUGCUGUGGCUCAAUAUACACUUCUGGAUUAAAUCAGUGAAGGGUACUUAUUAAUGAAGGGAAAGAAAAAGCUUUUAUCCUCAUUCUAACAGGCAAUGUCUUUUUAUCCUCCAAAUCUUUGUUUCUUUCUUUUUUUUUUUUUUUGGUCUUUUUGCCUUUUCUAGGGCUGUACCCACGGCAUAUGGAAGUUCCCAGGCUAGGGGUC